AUUAAACGCUGGCGGCAUGCCUUACACAUGCAAGUCGAACGGCAGCACGGGGGCAACCCUGGUGGCGAGUGGCGGACGGGUGAGUAAAGCAUCGGAACGUAUCCUGGAGUGGGGGAUAACGUAGCGAAAGUUACGCUAAUACCGCAUAUUCUGUGAGCAGGAAAGCAGGGGAUCGCAAGACCUUGCGCUCUGGGAGCGGCCGAUGUCGGAUUAGCUAGUUGGUGGGGUAAAGGCCUACCAAGGCGACGAUCCGUAGCGGGUCUGAGAGGAUGAUCCGCCACACUGGGACUGAGACACGGCCCAGACUCCUACGGGAGGCAGCAGUGGGGAAUUUUGGACAAUGGGCGCAAGCCUGAUCCAGCCAUGCCGCGUGAGUGAAGAAGGCCUUCGGGUUGUAAAGCUCUUUCGGCCGGGAAGAAAUCGCAUGGGUCAAUACCCUGUGUGGAUGACGGUACCGGAAUAAGAAGCACCGGCUAACUACGUG
rnacentral:rRNA from 1 species